rnacentral:rRNA from 1 species
UACGUAGGUGGCAAGCGUUGUCCGGAAUUAUUGGGCGUAAAGCGCGCGCAGGCGGUUCUUUAAGUCUGAUGUGAAAGCCCACGGCUCAACCGUGGAGGGUCAUUGGAAACUGGAGAACUUGAGUACAGAAGAGGAAGGCGGAAUUCCACGUGUAGCGGUGAAAUGCGUAGAGAUGUGGAGGAACACCAGUGGCGAAGGCGGCUUUCUGGUCUGUAACUGACGCUGAGGCGCGAAAGCGUGGGGAGCAAACAGG